CUAAUACAUGCACCGAAGCUCAGAUUGUUUUGACGAGCGCAUCUAUUAGACUUAAAACCAAUCGGGUUGCAUCACCCAGCUAGUGUCUCGUGUCAACGAUUGCUUCUUGCGUCGUGACUCGGUGACAUGGGUUGCGUACUCGUGAAGUGGUGACUCUGAAUAGCUUUGCUGAUCGCAUGGUCUCGUACCGGCGACGUAUCUAUCAAGUAUCUGCCUUAUCAACUUUCGAUGGUAGUUUAUGUGCCUACCAUGGUUGUAACGGGUAACGGAGAAUAAGGGUUCGACUCCGGAGAGGGAGCCUGAGAAACGGCUACCACUUCCAAGGAAGGCAGCAGGCGCGCAAAUUACCCACUCUUAGCUCGAGGAGGUAGUGACGAAAAAUAACGAGACCGUCUUCAUUGAGGCCGGUUAUCGGAAUGGGUACAACUUAAACCCGUUAACGAGGAUCAAUGAGAGGGCAAGUCUGGUGCCAGCAGCCGCGGUAAUUCCAGCUCUCAAAGUGUAUAUCGUCAUUGCUGCGGUUAAAAAGCUCGUAGUUGGAUAUAGGCCAUACGAUUCGGUGCAUCUGAAUUGAUGUGAACUGUAUUCGUUGGUUGCAGUUGUCGUUUUGUUGUUCGCCGCCACUCGGGCGCGUUCGCGUUGUUCGUGUGGCUGCGCGCAAACGGCAUAUGCCGGUUUUCGCUACGUUGCCUUAGUCGGUUGCGUAGUGUGACUGGCGAGUUUACCUUGAAAAAAUUAGAGUGCUCAACGCGGGCUAGCGCUUGAAUACUCGUGCAUGGAAUAAUGGAAUAGGAUCUUGGUUCUAUUUUGUUGGUUUUCUGAGCCAAGAUAAUGGUUAAGAGGGACAGACGGGGGCAUUCGUAUCGCUGCGUGAGAGGUGAAAUUCUUGGACCGCAGCGAGACGCCCUACUGCGAAAGCAUUUGCCAAGAAUGUCUUCAUUAAUCAAGAACGAAAGUCAGAGGUUCGAAGGCGAUCAGAUACCGCCCUAGUUCUGACCGUAAACGAUACCAACUAGCGUUCCGUCAUCGGUAAUAUAACGCCUUGACGGGCAGCUUACCGGAAACGAAAGUGUCUCGGUUCCGGGGGAAGUAUGGUUGCAAAGCUGAAACUUAAAGAAAUUGACGGAAGGGCACCACCAGGAGUGGAGCCUGCGGCUUAAUUUGACUCAACACGGGAAAACUCACCUGGCCUGGACACCGUGAGGAUUGACAGAUUGAGAGCUCUUUCUUGAUUCGGUGGUUGGUGGUGCAUGGCCGUUCUUAGUUGGUGGAGUGAUUUGUCUGGUUAAUUCCGAUAACGAGCGAGACUCUAGCCUACUAAAUAGUCGGUGGGCAAACAAACGUUGCCCACGCGCCUUCUUAGAGGGACAAGCGGUGUUCAGCCGCAUGAAGUUGAGCCAUAACAGGUCUGUGAUGCCCUUAGAUGUUCAGGGCUGCACGCGCGCUACACUGGAGGAAUCAGCGUGCAUAUGUCCAUUGUCGAAAGGCAUUGGUAACCAGUUGAAAAUCCUUCGUGCUCGGGAUCGGCAAUUGCAAUUAUUUGCCGUGAACGAGGAAUUCCUAGUAAGUGUGAGUCAUCAGCUCACGCUGAUUACGUCCCUGCCCUUUGUACACACCGCCCGUCGCUGCCCGGGACUGAGCCGUUUCGAGAAAAGCGGGGAUCACUGCUUUGAGGCCCUUGUGGCUGAGAUGUCUAUGUGAAAACCGCGUUUAUCGCAGUGGCUUGAACCGGGCAAAAGUCGUAACAAGGUUUCCGUAGGUGAACCUGC
rnacentral:rRNA from 1 species